rnacentral:rRNA from 1 species
UGAGCAAUCUGCCCUUCUCAUCGGAAUAAGCGUUGGAAACGACGUCUAAUGCCGAAUACGACCUCCUUUCGCAUGAUCGGAGGUGGAAAGCUCCGGCGGAGAAGGAUGAGCUCGCGGCCUGUCAGCUAGUUGGUGUGGGUAAUGGCCCACCAAGGCGAUGACGGGUAGCCGGCCUGGAGAGGGUGACCGGCCAUACGUGGGACUGAGACACGGCCCAGCUCCUAGAGAGG